AGCAAUCUGUCUCUAUGGUCAACCAGAAGUAUCCUGUCCUCAUGAUCUUACGAGCCAUCAUAUGUCCUCCCAUAUGUGGUCCGCAGACUCCCGCAUGAACCUCUCUCAUCACCCGAUCGGCAGAGGCGCGGUCUAAACACAAUAAUAGCAUCCCGUCAGGUGAUCGCCUGUACAAUGUCUCGCCGCAAAUCACGAAUCAAGCGGCCAACUGUCUCAAUGCUCUCCUAUCCUUGGCCGUGGCAGCCUCAGGAUAUACGCCGAGUCUCAAAAAGUGAUAUAUGUCGUGAUACCAUGGCAAACCAUCAUCUGGCUCCACAUCAUCGAUCAGGCAACAGUAAGCCGGAGCAGAUCUCGACUCGAUCAACAAAGGUCGAACAGUGGCGUCAACGGGAAUAUCGAUCAUGGAAGCUAGAGUAGCUAAAGCAUCAGCAAACUGG
rnacentral:lncRNA from 1 species